CCUGGGUGUUUUUACAACUUCGUCGUCCGACUGCUGUCACCCUCCUGUAUUUAUAGGUUUCCUCCGCCACGGACACGAGGUGGGCGGUGAUGCGGUUUCAAAGGUCAAAACAAUACGAACGUCCUAUCCGAGCAGGGGAUUGGCCCGACGAACGGGCUGAACCCGCCCCUACCGUGACGUCUCUUGUGCUCAUUGGCGCUUUUUCACACUCAAUCAUAAGGUGCCCGAUUUCAUUACAGUCUUUCUCCCAUUUAAAGGACACGGACGUCACGCGUUACCUAGUUCCAGCACUCCCGGCUCAAAGUUGAUCUGCUGAACAAGCCACAUCACAACGACACUGUUUAACGUCUCAGCGGUCUGCCCUUGUUCAUGAGUGGCAAAUCCAAACAGCCAGCAGAAGACAAGCCAAUUUCCAGGAAAAGCCAUGACAGAGAACUUUUCCCUGAUUGGACAGCACCCCUUGGAGAAGACCGCAUUGCGAGUGAAAGCCCUAAUCUACAGUAAGGAUAAAGGGACAAGAUGAAGCAGCAGUGUUGGCUCCUUGUUUCUGAAAUCACCCUGUCUCUUUAACUGGAGAACAGCAGGUCACCUGAGAGGCCUUUGGCCUGAAGCGAAGAUGGGAGUUUUGAUAAAUCACACAGAAAUGUGCUGAUCCGGCAGAGAAACUGGAGGAAAUCUACAAAGAGUUUCCCGCAUCUGCAGCUGAAGCCGGAGCUGGAGCUGGAGCUGGAGCUGGCUAUUAGGGCUGCAGUAUGAACCAUGAUAUUAGAAUAAUGGCGCGAUAAUAGGCCAGCGAGAGUAAAAUAAGCACUACUGCUGAAAAUUCACACAGGGACUUUGAGUAAACACACUCCUCCACUAAGUCACGCUUCGAGCUUGUACACAAACACACACACACACACACACACACACACACACACACACACACUCAUAACCCCAUCCCCUCCCUCCCACACACACUCACACACACAUACACUUUGUUUAAAUUCAGAGCUUGUCUCCCAUGUGCUUCAGCUUUUUGCGUGACGUCAAAGGCCAACGUUUUGGAUUAUGCGCUAGAUCCUCUUUCGCUGUCUGAAUGGAUAAUGGCACCCUGCUAUCAGAGUCUACAGACCUGCGGAGAGGGAGAGGGAGAGGGAGAGAGAGAAAGAAAAAGAGAGAGAGAGAGACAGAGAGAGGGAGAGAGCAGUUUCUGAUCACACAUCAUUGUCAGAGUUGUUUGUGUGCCUCACAUACAUUCUCCAGUUUUCCAUCACACUCUCUCACACACACAGACAUACACACACAUACCUAUAGAUAUACGCAUAAAUAUACAGUCAUGUCCAAAUGUAUUUGGACAGAGGCAGGAUUUUUGUAAUUUUGCCCCUGUGCACCACAAUCCACUAUAAUGGAUUUGAAAUGAAGCAGAUGUAUUCAAAAUGUUGAAGUGUAGACGUCCAGCUUUAUUUUAAGGGGUUUAACAAAAAUAUCCCAUUAACUCUUUAGGAACUACAGCCAUUUUUACAUAGUCCCUCCAUUUUCACAGGCUCCAAAGUAAUUGAACAAGCUAACAUAAUUAUAAACAUAAGGAUUAUUUUACAUUUUUCAUUGCAAAUCCUUUGCAGUCUUGCAUAACUGCCCGACGUCUGGAACCCAUGAACAUCACCAAAUGCUGAGUUUCCUCCUUUGAGAUGCUUUGCCAGGCCUUACUGCAACGUCCUUAGCAGCUUCAACUUCUUGAGACCACCGGUGGUUCCAAAGCGCACCGUCAUAUUUUUCAUAACUUUCAAAUUUCAUAAGCUACAUUCAGAAGGUGGAUGUUGUAUGAGAGCUGUAAUUGUCUUCUGUGCAGUCAAA